GCUUUCCACACACAUUGCUUCAUCAUUUUCUCCGAAAAAGAUGACUUUUUAGAAUUGCCAUGAUGUAAAGGUUACUCUUCUUACAGAAAAUUCUAGUGAAGCUAAAUCCUCCCCCCAACAAGAGCACUGAGGUUUUAUACAACAUUGCCUCCUGUAAGCAUGUCAUAUGACAGGUCCAGGUUAUUUGUGCUCUACUCGGCCUGAACAUGCUCACGUCCCAAGGUCCUAGGGAAGGCUGUCAUGUGGUCGCACAACACAACGGUUUGCCCCAGAGAUGGAACUCCAUAUGGAUCGUGCUGGCUGUGUGAGCUGCUGCAGGGUGGAUAACCAUAUGCUGUUUAUCAUUUUAUCCCCAGCACUUAGCAGAGGGCCUGGCACCAAAUGAGCACUCAAUAAAUGUUUGUGGAAUGAAAG